rnacentral:rRNA from 1 species
AGCAGUCGCCGCGGGAAUACGGAGGGUGCAAGCGUUAUCCGGAUUUAUUGGGUUUAAAGGGUCCGUAGGCGGAUCUGUAAGUCAGUGGUGAAAUCUCACAGCUUAACUGUGAAACUGCCAUUGAUACUGCAGGUCUUGAGUAAAUUUGAAGUGGCUGGGAUAAGUAGUGUAGCGGUGAAAUGCAUAGAUAUUACUUAGAACACCAAUUGCGAAGGCAGGUCACUAAGAUUUAACUGACGCUGAUGGACGAAAGCGUGGGGAGCGAACAGGAUUAGAUACCCGGGUAGUCCCUGUCUCUUAUAA